CCCGUGGGCAGCUGCCACAGGGAGCAAGCCGCCGCCGCCACCCCAGCGCAGCUCAUUGCUGCGACUACAGAGCAACCGCACCCUUGAGUGCAGCGGGCCAAACGUUCCUUCGGCUCAGACUGAUGACGUACGCAGUGGUGAGAGUGCACAAAGAGGAGGUCACGUGAGGACAUGGUGAGGAGGCAGCCUGGUCUUGAACUUCCAGUCUCCAGAACUACAUAGGAGACUUCUGCGAGGAACGUGUGAAGAACGUGUGAAGAAUGUGGGCUUUGGUACCUUCUAUGCUGUGAAUGUCCUCCCGCCACAGCUCCAGGUGGGACGUCAUCUCUCGAGCCUUCUCAAUGAACC